UUCUCUAUUAUACAUCCUGUGGCGGUGAAUGUUCUCUGUGGCUUCAUGGCCCAGCAUCCUGAGAGGGAUGCACUAGACUGCACUGCAUUUCCUCACUCUGUUAAUGACACAGUCUACAGCAGGCUACUAGAGUGACAGGGAAAGAGAACUACACACAAGGGUUACUCAAAAUGGACAAAAUGCAGUUGACUUUUCCCUGUCUGACUGUCCUUUUGGGUCUCGUCCUGGCUUCUACCACCACAGCCCAGACACAGCCAGUCAAUCCCACUGUAACCCAGCCCACCUCAGCCUCCAACCCAGCCAACAACACAGCCACUCCAGGACACACCACAGUUGUAGACAACAAUAAUUUAACAUUAUCCGCCAUAACCCCAAACUUUACUGAUCUCAUUUUUGAUAACGUCCCUAUAACCAAUUCCACCGGGAGGCCUAACCACACGGUAACCACACCACUGAAGACCAGUUCAGAUGCCUCUCCAGGACCGACAUCCUGGCCCUCACCAAUGGACGUCUCUACAUCAAAGCUCCCAGCAGAGGCCAGGAGCACAACUGCUAGCACUUCUGCUACUAGCACCACCGAGAAUAGAAGUUUGGCGGGAACUGCUCAACCAAAACCCUCUGCGAGAAAAUCGCCCCACAUUGGGUUGAUCAUCUUUCUUGUGCUCAUCAUCGCUGCCUGUGUGCUUGGAGCAGCAUGCUUCUUUACUAAGAAGACAUCAAGGAGGUACUCCGUAGAUCUCCGAGACAGGCAUGAGGAUCUGCCUCUGAGUACUGCGGAUCCCGAUGCCGUGUUUGACAACUCCUCAACACAGAAGGGGAUGGACACCUUUACCGUCGUGGAUCUCAACAGCACCGAGGUCCUGGUUAAGGGAAGUGAGGGAGAAAGAGCAGAUAGUGAAAAAAUCUCUGACUACCCACCUCCUGCCAGCCCUGUGGACGAACCUGAUGAUGGGGCCCCUGGAGAUGUGGCCCCUGAGGCCCCAGCGGGGGAGACUGAUGACGAGAACACAGUCUCCAAUAAGACCUCAAUGGAGUCAGUGGAGGCCAACAACAACAACAACAACACCAUCAUCACCGCCAGGGUCGCUUCAACAACUCCAAGAGGACGGGCAAUGACCAGCAGCUUCUCUGAGGUUCCUCUGGACAACCCGGCCUAAAAGAGAUCCUCCUUUAUCUGCAGCCCCUUUACAACCACGCCGGUGUCCCCAUCCAACAAAAUUGGUUGUUUUAGCAUUCCUGUCCACUCCUCCUGGGUCGAACCUACUCCCCGGGCCUCUGGGCCUACUGUGAUCAGAGACUUGGUGAAAGAUGGACAUUCACCUGCUGGUAUCGCCUCAAGCAUCAGCUCCAACCUCCAACAUUCCUUCCUCAGGCCCAAACUGACGAGUCACACCACGGCUUAAUAUGCCUGUGUCUUUCAGUGUGUUAGUCAUCUCAGUUGGGGGACUUUUUUCCCCACUCUCCAGGUGUAAGAACAGUUUACUUUAAAUUAACGCUUUAGGUAUGUUACACUUCUGCCACUAUUGCUACAUUUUGAUGUGUGUUUAUGGUUUUAAAAUGGAGAUGUUUGAUAGUGAAAUGUUACUAGUUGAGAAAUAGUCAUGCGAGUUGACGCAGGGCUGUGCAUAUUCAUGACUAUGAUGAAUUUGGCUUUUGUUGUUGUUAAUGUAAUGCACUAUGUUUAUAUUACACAUAAACCUAUUAGAAGAAACACUGUACCUUUAAAUAAACUUGCGGCUGUGUUCUUCCUCAGCAAGCUUUCACAUUGAUAUUAACAACUGCAUACUAAAUAUGUAGGAAAUCGCUGCAUUGCUAAAAGAUAUUACGAUUAGCUAUUAAACUUUUCAGCACUUAACCUUUCAGUUGUUAAUCUGUCAGAUCAAACAGGUUUUGCGUCCCUAGUUAUUUUCUCUCAUCGGUUAUUUAGCUGUUUUUACAUGCCCAUACUAAUAGGUAGGUAAUUAGCUUAGACACAUGCAUUGCUCUUUCAUUCAAAGUGUUUCCAAAAAUGUCUUUAUGGAAACGUCUUCUGACAAAAUGGACAAUUACAGUUCUAUUGUAUUCUACCAUGCAGUGUAGGAAUAUUGACUGCGUGGAACAGGUAGUUUAGAGGAGACCAUUGUGAUGACGAGUGGACGUUUCCAAAAGGCCAGAUCUGCUUUACUGCACGCUGUAAAAGCCCAGAGGAGAUGGAAAGAGCGGUGAUAAAUUGUCAUGUUUGAAACUUUCCCUCUGUGAUGUCAUAAAGCAAUAAUAAAACAGGUAUAUAGUCAGUUUAGGACAAAGGAUUUUGGAUUUCACUUAGUUUCCAGACGGUUUUUAGAGGGGGUAAAGGUGAAGGUAGUAAACAGGUUAAUGCAGGUUGUAGGUAAUGAGACUGAAAACCGGCUGAGGUUUUGGUCUAUUACUAUCCGUUAACAAAAUGAUAGGUGGAAACUUACCUCCGCUACAGUUCAAACACUUGACUCCUAGGCCUUACUACAAUGUGAGCAAUCUAAUCAAUUGUAAUCACUACUUUUGUAACCCAGCAUUUGAGCUCUUGUUCAGAGACCAGAUUGAGGAGGUGGUAGUCUCUCGCUGGACUCAGGUUAGCCUUAUUAGCAUUUCCCCCAGAGUCACUAAAUCCCCAGUGGAAUGUCAAGCCUUUCAGUGACUAGGUUUCUCCUUCACUAUAGUAACUGCCUAACUGGGGGUUCUCUCCACACAGAUCCCUAUCUGUUCCUAUAUGGCUCAACUUUAGCUCAGUUUAGCCCAGCCAGAGCUGUGCGAGAGCUCACCUGACCUGCAAUAUGCAAUCAGACCCUUAGUAAUCACAUAAGCUCUGCAAUAUGCAAUCAGCCUCUUAGUAAUCACAUAAAGCUGUUCUCUGUUACCUGGUCUCCUUUUUAUUGCAUGCUUUUGAGAUUACCGGGGGGUCACAUUUUAAAGUGCAAUGGCAGGAUAUAAGAGCUGUGCGGAUGAGACACUCCUACAGCAUGGUCGGUUUCCAUUGAUUUGGUCAUGUACUCCACUCCAUAGAUAUCCAAUAAGCAUCUGUUAGCUGCCUUCAAUUCUUAUUUGGGUAUGUAGGAGUUUUAUGUAUGAAAUCUGUACACGCAGCUUUUUGUCAACCUUGAAGUUGAUCUAGUCGUAGUCAUCAAUGUCUUUUUAAGGAGUUGAACCACCUCAACUCCACGGUCUUCACACCUAGGGGGCAUACACCAGAUCGAAGAAUCCAUAAAAGGGUCAUCAUAAAUCAAUUCAAUAGUUUCCCCCCCCCCCCAUGUCCGCUAUCCUGUCCCGCAAACAGAUGUUUCAGCACAGGUGUCAAAGGUCAGAGGCCACGUAAACAUGGUCAAAACAGAAGGUAUGGCAGGGGGUUACAGUUGACGAGAGCCAGGAUAGUGGUGUCACAGGAUGACUAAGGACACAACUUUCCAGGAAAAUCCAGCCAGGUAGAAAUAUAGAUGGAGAAAACUGAGGAGAAAGUUAAAAAGCCCUGAAAGGUAGCCCAGUUUGAUCUCCCCAUCGUGACGCUCCCAUCGAUUACAAAGCAGGAUUAGCAAAGGUUGAAGCUAAGUGCUUUACAGAUGAAUAACUGUUCUGCACAACAAAAUGAAUCAUAAGUGACCCAAUGACUUCAUGCUGACUUCCACAUUGUUUUCUUUGUGUUCUUUAGACUGAAGAAAUUCAUCGGAAACGCCUGAAAACAAAGUAUUUCUUUCAAUUCAUAUAUAUAGGCUAGUUGAUGUUUUCUCUGUCUAUAAACAAUUUAGCUAAGAAGAUAGCAGUGUUGGUUCAUGAUCCAGGGGAAAUUAAAGUGAUACUGUUAUAUAGCUUCGCUAUGACAAAGAAACAGCUGGGAGAGGUGUAAUAGGAAGUAUGUCUUUAGGGAGAAAGAGCUGGGAGAGGUGUAAUAGGAAGUAUGUCUUUAGGGAGAAACAGCUGGGAGAGGUGUAAUAGGAAGUAUGUCUUUAGGGAGAAACAGCUGGGAGAGGUGUAAUAGGAAGUAUGUCUUUAGGGAGAAACAGCUGGGAUAGGUGUAAUAGGAAGUAUGUCUUUAGGGAGAAACAGCUGGGAGAGGUGUAAUAGGAAGUAUGUCUUUAGGGAGAAACAGCUGGGAGAGGUGUAAUAGGAAGUAUGUCUUUAGGGAGAAACAGCUGGGAGAGGUGUAAUAGGAAGUAUGUCUUUAGGGAGAAACAGCUGGAAGAGGUGUAAUAGGAAGUAUGUCUUUAGGGAGAAACAGCUGGGAGAGGUGUAAUAGGAAGUAUGUCUUUAGGGAGAAACAGCUGGGAGAGGUGUAAUAGGAAGUAUGUCUUUAGGGGGAAACAGCUGGGAGAGGUGGGACAUGGGCAACAACUGCAAACUAUUUCCUUUAAAGGAUAGUUUAUCCUCUUUCUACACACUCAUUCACAAACAUCCCAAUGUAGUGUGUCACUUUUUUAAGUCUGAAAUCUUGACACAAAUAAAAUGUAAAAGCUAAGUUGUCUAGAAGACGUUUUCAAUAAAUAAUGCUCUGUCUAGAA